rnacentral:rRNA from 1 species
AGUGAACGCUGGCGGUAGGCCUAACACAUGCAAGUCGAACGGCAGCACAGUAAGAGCUUGCUCUUACGGGUGGCGAGUGGCGGACGGGUGAGGAAUACAUCGGAAUCUACUUUUUCGUGGGGGAUAACGUAGGGAAACUUACGCUAAUACCGCAUACGACCUACGGGUGAAAGCAGGGGAUCUUCGGACCUUGCGCGAUUGAAUGAGCCGAUGUCGGAUUAGCUAGUUGGCGGGGUAAAGGCCCACCAAGGCGACGAUCCGUAGCUGGUCUGAGAGGAUGUUCGUCCAGACUGGAACUGAGACACGGUCCAGAACGAGACGGGAGGCAGAAGUGUGGAAUAGCGGACCAUGGGCGAAAGACGUAUACAGCCAUACCGGGUGGUGGAAGAAGCCCUUCGGUUUGUAAAUCCUUUGUGUUGGAAAAGAAAAGCAGCAGCUUAAUACCCCGCUGUUCUGACGGUACCAAAAGAAUAAGAACCGGCUAACUUCGUGCCACCAGCCGCGGUAAUAAUC